GAUGAACGCUGGCGGCGUGCCUAAUACAUGCAAGUCGAGCGAACAGAUGAGAAGCUUGCUUCUCUGAUGUUAGCGGCGGACGGGUGAGUAACACGUGGGUAACCUACCUAUAAGACUGGGAUAACUCCGGGAAACCGGGGCUAAUACCGGAUAAUAUUUUGAACCGCAUGGUUCAAUAGUGAAAGACGGUUUCGGCUGUCACUUAUAGAUGGACCCGCGCCGUAUUAGCCAGUUGGUAAGGUAACGGCUUACCAAGGCGACGAUACGUAGCCGACCUGAGAGGGUGAUCGGCCACACUGGAACUGAGACACGGUCCAGACUCCUACGGGAGGCAGCAGUAGGGAAUCCUCCGCAAUGGGCGAAAGCCUGACGGAGCAACGCCGCGUGAGUGAUGAAGGUCUUCGGAUCGUAAAACUCUGUUGUCAGGGAAGAACAAAUUUGUUAGUAACUGAACAAGUCUUGACGGUACCUAACCAGAAAGCCACGGCUAACUACGUGCCAGCCGCCGCCGUAA
rnacentral:rRNA from 1 species